UGUUUGAAAAUAAGUAUGUCUGUCAGGUGACAGUGUUCACUCUGGAAGUUGACACAGUGAAUCCACUCCUUUACGGAGGAAGAGCCUGGUAAAUUUAUAAUGCUGUAUGAUGGAUUCAUGUUUAUAAUUCAACAAGAAUCUAAGCUGUGUAGAACUGUUUAUGGGGCAAUUCAAGGGCUACAAGAUUCUGACUGUGGGGUUGGUCUUUCUGGUUUUGGUGUCUGCUUCAUGAUGCCUUGGCCUGAGCCCAUGAUCCAUUGGCUCCCACAACCCAGCACUGUCCCUGAGUAUGUCUCAGAAUCCAUCAACUGGGACUCUCUGCCUCAAGAACUCCCCAACCUGACCAGCCUUCUCUAUUGGCCUCCAACUGGUGAAGACAGGGAUGAUUUUUUUGGCCUCUACCAGCCCCAGAACCUCCUCAUACUGCUUGAAGGGUCCGGCCCACACCACCUUUACUCUGGGAAGUAACCUAGAAGCCAUCCUUGUGGCUAAGGAUCACCGAGGAAGAGCUAAAGUUCACAGUGGAGAUCUGUUUCGGGCUCGGCUGCUGGGCCCAGAAUUGAGAGCAGGAGUCCCAGGGGAGGUGAAGGAUCUGGAGAAUGGCACUUACCUCUUGUCCUUCCCCCUGCUCUGGGCUUUUGUUUUGUUUUCUUUUUUUGUUUUGUUUUGGUUUUUUGUAUAGCUCUGUCUGUCCUGGAACUCACUUUGUAGACCAGGCUGGCCUCAAAAUCAGAAAUCUGCCUGCGUCUGCCUCCCGAGUCCUGGGAUUAAAGGUGUAUCAUUGUUCUUUAUCAUGGCAAAUUACUUCCUCAAUAUUCUAUUCCUCAGAGUUCCCAUCUAUAAGUGGAGACAUGAACAGUUACCCCCUGAGUUUGGAGGUGCACAUAUGAAGUCUCAGCACUCUAGAGGUGAAGGCAGUAAGAUUAGAUGUUGUCUCAUUGCUGUGAACAGACACCAUGACCAAAGCAACUCUUAAAAAGAUAGUUAAUUGGGGCUAGCUUACAGUUUCAGAGGUUCAGUUCAUUAUCGUCAUGGUGGAAAUGUUGGCAGUAUCCAGGUAGUAGACAUGGUGCUGGAGAAGGAGCUGAGAGUUCUACAUGUUAAUCUGAAGGCAGCUAGAAGGAGGCUCUCUUAUGUGGGCCUCCAGGAGGAGACUGGAAUUCUACAAUGGGUAGAGCUUAAACCUAGGAGACAUCUAAGCCCACCUUCACAUUUACAAACCCCUUCCUACAAGGAAACACCUACUCCAACAAGGUUACACCUCCUAGUAGUGCUAUUAUCUGUGGGCUAAGCAUUCACACACUGAAGUCUAUGUGGGCCAAACCUAUUCAAACCACCCAAGGUGUCAAGGGCAAUCUCAAUUACAUAGGAAUUUAAGGCUACCAUGUAUUAUGUGAUGGUUUGCAUAUGCUUGGCCCAGGGAGUUGAACUAUUGGGAGGUGUGGACCUGUUAGAAUAGGUGUGUCCUUGUUGAAGUGGGUGUAUCACUGUAGACAUAGACUUUAAUACCCUCUUUCUAGUUACCUAGAAGCCAGUAUCUAUUAGCAGCCUUCAGAUAAAAAUGUAGAAAGCUCAUUUCCUCCUGCACCACAACUGUCUUGAUGCUGUCAUGCUCCUAUCUUGAUAAUGGACUGAACCUCUGAACCUGUAAGCCAGCCGCAAUUAUAUGUUGUCUAUAUAAGA